UACGAAGGGGGCUAGCGUUGCUCGGAAUUACUGGGCGUAAAGGGCGCGUAGGCGGAUGUUUAAGUCAGAGGUGAAAGCCCAGGGCUCAACCUUGGAACUGCCUUUGAUACUGGACAUCUUGAGUGUGGGAGAGGUGAGUGGAACUCCGAGUGUAGAGGUGAAAUGCGUAGAUAUUCGGCGGAACACCAGUGGCGAAGGCGACACACUGGCCCGAUACUGACGCUGAGGCGCGAAAGCGUGGGGAGCAAACAGG
rnacentral:rRNA from 1 species